GCUUAAGGCUCCGACUGCGAUCGUGGAGAUACGGUGACUCGGUGCAGGAAGCUGUGUCGUGUAGGUGUGGAGGCUUCAUGACCUCUAGCUGUUUACCUGGGAUUCCGCACGCUACUCCGAUUCCCUCCAUCCAAACAGGUGUACCCUGCAGUGGCUCAGCAUCUCAUACAGAUCUCAUGCUAGACUGCUUAUUAAAGAUGGAUGGAUGAAUGGAUGGAUUUUGUGACCAGUACAAAGGCGGAAAAUGAGAGCACAGAGCAGUACAGCAAGAGCAACGCUGUCUGGAUCUGGGACGAAACCCAGGAAGACAGGCUCCAGACCCCCCGCAACUCUGAAUGGGACAAGUGGUUUCAGAAAAUGGAUGGAUGGAUGUUCACAAUGAGCUGGGACUCAAUCAAGGAACCUUCUACUCAAGGCCUUCAGCUAUUACUGCAUCGACUGUCUGCUUUACACAGGAAGGUCUCAACACGCUACGCUAAGAUAGACUGCCUUGUCUGCGCAGGGAAUGUUUAGUUCAGGCUGCACUUCUUGUCCUGUCCUCUGAGUGACGUGACAGAAGCAUAAGCCAAGGGCCAGCUGCAGGGCCUGCAGAAGACACACCAUCAUCUGAAUUGGCUUCAUAAUUAUGGGAAAUGAGGAAAAACGAGUAAAUAUGAUACUUAUUCAACCUGCUGCUUUGCUUACCUGAAUUAAGAUCAGUCCUAACUGCAACUCCAAAAUAGCAAGUCCAUUUGCCAACAGCCAGUCCUCUAUACUCUGUUGACAGCCCUGUCAGAGAGAGGCAUAAGAAUAAGGUGUCAUGACUGAAUGCGUGGUAGGAGUGAUGAUCCAUGUUCAGCUUAUGCUAAAGUAAAGGGGUCUUUAUUUUUGGAGCAAACAUACAAACAGAAGUACAAACCAAAGGACCAUAUGGAGUCAAAAAAGGAGACAGGAAGGAGAACUAAAGAGGGACA